rnacentral:misc_RNA from 1 species
AAGUCGUAACAAGGUUUCCGUAGGUGAACCUGCGGAAGGAUCAUUAAAGAGUAAGGGUCUCCGGCCCGAACCUCCAACCCUCUGUCGUUAUAACUACCAUUGUUGCUUUGGCGGGACCGUCCCUCGGGGCGCGUCGACCCACCGGUCGACGAGUGCCCGCCAGAGUCCAACCAAACUCUUGUAUUAAACCAGUCGUCUGAGUACAAAAUUUUAAUUAAAUUAAAACUUUCAACAACGGAUCUCUUGGUUCUC